rnacentral:rRNA from 1 species
UACAGAGGGGGCAAGCGUUAUUCGGAAUUAUUGGGCGUAAAGGGCGCGUAGGCGGCUUUGCAAGUGACGGGUGAAAUCCCUCGGCUUAACCGAGGAACUGCCUGUCAAACUGCGUGGCUUGAGACCAGGAGAGGUGAGUGGAAUUCCCAGUGUAGCGGUGAAAUGCGUAGAUAUUGGGAGGAACACCAGUGGCGAAGGCGGCUCACUGGACUGGUACUGACGCUGAGGCGCGAAAGCGUGGGGAGCGAACAGG